GACGUAGGGGGCAAGCGUUGGCCGGAUUCAUUGGGCGGAAAGGGCUCGUAGGCGGCUUAGCAAGUCAGGGGCGAAACCUCCAGGCUUAACCUGGAGACGCCACUUGAGACUGCUAUGGCUAGAGUGCGGUAGGGGACCAUGGAAUCUCCGGUGUAGCGGUGAAAUGCGCAGAUAUCGGAGGGAACACCAGUGGCGAAGGCGGUGGUCUGGGCCGUAACUGACGCUGAGGAGCGAAAGCGUGGGUAGCAAACAGG
rnacentral:rRNA from 1 species